AUUGAACGCUGGCGGCAGGCUUAACACAUGCAAGUCGAGCGGGGUGAUGGUGCUUGCACUAUCACUUAGCGGCGGACGGGUGAGUAAUGCUUAGGAAUCUGCCUAUUAGUGGGGGACAACAUCUCGAAAGGGAUGCUAAUACCGCAUACGUCCUACGGGAGAAAGCAGGGGAUCACUUGUGACCUUGCGCUAAUAGAUGAGCCUAAGUCGGAUUAGCUAGUUGGUGGGGUAAAGGCAUACCAAGGCGACGAUCUGUAGCGGGUCGGAGAGGAUGAUCCGCCACACUGGGACUGAGACACGACCCAGACUCCUACGGGAGGCAGCAGUGAGGAAUAUUGGACAAUGGGGGGAACCCUGAUCCAGCCAUGCCGCGUGUGUUAAGAAGGCCUUAUGGUUGUAAAGCACUUUAAGCGAGGAGGAGGCUCUUUUGGUUAAUACCCAAGAUGAGUGGACGUUACUCGCAGAAUAAGCACCGGCUAACUCUUUGCCAGCCGCCGCCGUAACAC
rnacentral:rRNA from 1 species